rnacentral:rRNA from 1 species
CCUACGGGAGGCAGCAGUGGGGAAUUUUGGACAAUGGGGGAAACCCUGAUCCAGCGAUGCUGCGUGCGGGAAGAAGGCCUUAGGGUUGUAAACCGCUUUCAGCUAGGAAGAAAAGAUUAUAGUUAAUAUCUAUAAUUUAUGACGGUACUAGCAGAAGAAGCACCGGCUAACUACGUGCCAGCAGCCGCGGUAAUACGUAGGGUGCAAGCGUUAAUCGGAAUUACUGGGCGUAAAGAGUGCGCAGGCGGCUCUUUAAGACAGGUGUGAAAUCCCCGAGCUCAACUUGGGAAUUGCGCUUGUGACUGGAGAGCUAGAGUGCGGAAGAGGGGGAUAGAAUUCCUGGUGUAGCAGUGAAAUGCGUAGAUAUCAGGAGGAAUACCGAUGGCGAAGGCAGUCCCCUGGGCCAGCACUGACGCUCAUGCACGAAAGCGUGGGGAGCAAACAGGAUUAGAUACCCUGGUAGUCCACGCCCUAAACGAUGUCAACUAGUUGUUGGAAGAGGAGACUCUUUAAGUAACGAAGCUAACGCGUGAAGUUGACCGCCUGGGGAGUACGGUCGCAAGAUUAAAACUCAAAUGAAUUGACGG